GAUGAAGAACGCAGCGAAAUGCGAUAAGUAGUGUGAAUUGCAGAAUUCAGUGAAUCAUCGAAUCUUUGAACGCACAUUGCGCCCCUUGGUAUUCCAUGGGGCAUGCCUGUACGAGCGUCAUUUGUACCUUCAAGCUUUGCUUGGUGUUGGGUGUUUGUCCUGAGGGACUCGCCUUAAAGUAAUUGGCAGCCAGUGUUUUGGUUUUGAAGCGCAGCACAAGUCGCGAUUCAAGGCUAUACGCCAGCUUCCACAAGCCUUUUUCACUUUUGACCUCGGAUCAGGUAGGGAUACCCGCUGAACUUAAGCAUAUCAAUAAGCGGAGGA
rnacentral:misc_RNA from 1 species